rnacentral:lncRNA from 1 species
UAUAACUUUUGCAUAAGGUUAAUGAUCAAUUGAAUUGAUGAUUAAGCCCUUGAAUGAUUCUCAAUCGUUGAUCAGCCAUAUGAUCAGUUAGAAAUUUUUUUUGAGUAUGAUCCUAUAGGUUUGAACCUAAGUCGGUAGAUAAAAAAUAACUUUCUGAACCAAUCGAUGUAACUAUCUAGCAAUAAUGACCUAAUGUCCGGAU